rnacentral:rRNA from 1 species
UACGUAGGGACCAAGCGUUGUUCGGAUUUACUGGGCGUAAAGGGCGCGUAGGCGGCUUGACAAGUCACUUGUGAAAUCUCCGGGCUUAACUCGGAACGGCCAAGUGAAACUGUCAUGCUAGAGUGCAGAAGGGGCAAUCGGAAUUCUUGGUGUAGCGGUGAAAUGCGUAGAUAUCUGGAGGAACACCGGUGGCGAAGGCGGCAUCCUGGACCGACACUGACACUGAGGAGCGAAAGCCAGGGGAGCAAACGGG